AUUGAACGCUGGCGGCAGGCUUAACACAUGCAAGUCGAGCGGAGAGAGGUAGCUUGUUACUGAUCUUAGCGGCGGACGGGUGAGUAAUGCUUAGGAAUCUGCCUAUUAGUGGGGGACAACAUUUCGAAAGGAAUGCUAAUACCGCAUACGUCCUACGGGAGAAAGCAGGGGAUCUUCGGACCUUGCGCUAAUAGAUGAGCCUAAGUCGGAUUAGCUAGUUGGUGGGGUAAAGGCCUACCAAGGCGACGAUCUGUAGCGGGUCUGAGAGGAUGAUCCGCCACACUGGGACUGAGACCCGGCCCAGACUCCUACGGGAGGCAGCAGUGGGGAAUAUUGGACAAUGGGCGCAAGCCUGAUCCAGCCAUGCCGCGUGUGUGAAGAAGGCCUUAUGGUUGUAAAGCACUUUAAGCGAGGAGGAGGCUACUUUAGUUAAUACCUAGAGAUAGUGGACGUUACUCGCAGAAUAAGCACCGGCUAACUCUGUGCCAGCCGCCGCGGUAACAC
rnacentral:rRNA from 1 species